UGUGUUUGUAUGCAUGCUUUAUAAUGACAGAUCAUGAAGUGGUAUAUUCUUUGCGUUGAGGUUCCAGUCACUUGCUUCAAAAAAUCACCCACAAUGAACUACAGACUACUUGAAUAGCUAAUCAGGCUUGGAAAUGAGACUCUUUUAUUAAACAUUUUAAAGGAAAUAAACAACAACCACUUAGAAAUAUUAGCAUUUUUUUCGUCUCCCAGGCCAAAAUCUUUGUAAACACUUUUCUGUCCAGGUCUCAGUUCUCAUAGAAUCAUAGAAUUGUAGAGUUGGAAGGGACCCCCAAAGUCAUCUAGUCCAACCCCCUGCAAUGCAGGAAUCUCAGCUAAAGCAUCCAUAGCAGAUGGCCAUCCAACCUUUGCUUAAAGCAUCCAAUGAAAGAGAGGCCACAACCUCCCUAAGGAGACUGUUCCACAAUCUAACAUCUCUUUCUGUCCCAAAGUUGUUCCUGACAGGCAAAAUCUCCUUGAAUCCAUUGGUAUGGGUCCUACCCUCCAGAGCAGUAGAAAAUAAGCUUUCUCUGUCUUCCACGUGACAGCCCUUUGGGUAUUUGAAGAUGGCAAUCAUAUCUUGCCCUCCUUAUUUUUCCUUGGUGAUUUGCACUUUUCUUAUGCUACCCUUUAAUUAGCUGACUGCGGGGUUUUUUUCCUUGAUGGAGGUGGUUUAGCCCAGCAUUGCUCCUACUUUGAUUGGGGUUUGGGAAUCUGUUAGAAGAGGCUUGGUCAUCCCAGUCCUCAAUAGGUUGGGCAUCAGGUUCUCACAAGAUGGUCUGUCUCAAAAAAUUUGAUGGUGGAUCAGCUGCUUGUUGUAAUGCAGAAUGUGGCAGCAUUUCAGUUCCCUUAAUCCACAACAUGUCACUUGAGAGGUACAUGUUUGAAUAGCUUGAUUCGGCCUUAUCUGCCCAUCCAAACUUCUUAGAAGGUACAAUGUGAAGAAAGGCAAAGUUGUGUUUUUACUUCAGAGGAGACUGCUGUUAAAAUGCAUACUGCUUAAAAGCCAUUAUUUGGCUGUGGUAUAUGUAAGCACUUUUUUGUUUUUAGUAUUUCAGAGAUGCCAAGUAGGUCAUGUGAUGAAUUGUCUAUGCAGUUGAGUGGCACAACUUUUCUUGAGGCAGGGUGGCAUAAGAGUCAUCUUCCUGAACGAAAAUUGUGAAGGUUUUGCAUGUGCACUUUUUAAACCUUACAGUUGGGCAGCAUUUUAGCUAACUGCAGAAACGGCUUCAUGGAAUGAUGUGUCAGUGCACUUUCAAAGAGCUGUGCUUGCAGCUCUUCACUCAUUUAUGUGCUUAGUCACAUCCCAAGCUCAACAUGGCUAGAAGAAGGUAGCCCUUGUGUGCCAUAUCCCAUUGCUCUUACACAAGUCCCAAUUAAUAGAAGAGCCAUGCUGGAUCCGACCAGUGGUCCACCCAGUCUAACAUCUUGUUCCUAGGCCAUAAAGGUAACACACACAAACCACCUACUAUUCACUAGUGUGUGCACAGACUCAGUUACUGUUCAGUGGAAUACUGCCUCAGAACCCAGAGGUUUUAUUUACAUGACGAUGGCUUAUAUCUAUUGAUAAAAACCUGUUUUUCAUAAAUGUGUCAGAUCUUAAUUUAAAGCCAUCUGAGCCCAUUACAGCUUGUGACAACAGAGUCUGUAAACUAUGUAAUAUGUGAAAAACACUUUUGUUUGUUCUGGGUCUCUCGUUUCUCCACGCCAUGUAUAAUCUCCUCAACCUCUAUCAUAUCUUCUGCUCAGUUGCCAUUCUUUUCCAAAGUUCCAAACACACCAGCAUUUUGUUUAGGGAACCUUGCAGAGAUCUUAGGCAGAGAAGUCUUUCUGAGUUCUUUCACAAAAGGUUAAGCGCCAAACUAGAUGUGAUGAUGGGGGAUCUGCGCUUGGAUCACCAAAUGUCUCUUUGCUUGCUUGUUCAAAAGCAGGUUGUGAGGGCAAGAGAUUUUGCAUUGGAGCUGUGCUGCUAGGGGAGGGUUUGUUUGUUU